rnacentral:lncRNA from 1 species
CAGGCCACAGAGACCACCACAACCAGACACAAGCGCACAGCAAAUCCUUCCAAAACCAUUGAUCUUGGAGCAGCAGCACAUUACACAGGGGACAAAGCAAGUCCAGAUCAGAAUGCUUCAACCCACACACCUCAGUCUUCAGUUAAGACUUCAGUGCCUAGCAGCAAGUCAUCUGGUGACCUUGUUGAUCUGUUUGAUGGCACCAGCCAGUCAACAGGAGGAUCAGCUGAUUUAUUCGGAGGAUUUGCUGACUUUGGCUCAGCUGCUGCAUCAGGCAGUUUCCCUUCCCAAGUAACAGCAACAAGUGGGAAUGGAGACUUUGGUGACUGGAGUGCCUUCAACCAAGCCCCAUCAGGCCCUGUUGCUUCCAGUGGCGAGUUCUUUGGCAGUGCCUCACAGCCAGCGGUAGAACUUGUUAGUGGCUCACAAUCAGCUCUAGGCCCACCUCCUGCUGCCUCAAAUUCUUCAGACCUGUUUGAUCUUAUGGGCUCGUCCCAGGCAACCAUGACAUCUUCCCAGAGUAUGAAUUUCUCUAUGAUGAGCACUAACACUGUGGGACUUGGUUUGCCUAUGUCAAGAUCACAGGUAAGUUGUCUGGUUCCCUUGGAAUUUGUUAUUUAUAAUCUUUGAGAUGCUCUAACUCAUUGAAUGAUAGAUUAGUAUAAAAC